rnacentral:snRNA from 1 species
UCCGGUGCGCCCCCGGCGGCC